rnacentral:rRNA from 1 species
UACGUAGGGGGCAAGCGUUGUCCGGAUUUAUUGGGCGUAAAGAGCGUGUAGGCGGCCUGGAAGGUCAGCUGUGAAAACUCGAGGCUCAACCUCGAGACGUCGGUUGAAACCACCUGGCUAGAGUCCGGAAGAGGAGAGUGGAAUUCCCGGUGUAGCGGUGAAAUGCGCAGAUAUCGGGAGGAACACCAAUGGCGAAGGCAGCACUCUGGGACGUGACUGACGCUGAGACGCGAAAGCGUGGGGAGCAAACAGG